CGAGAGUAAUAAAUGCUCUCAAGCGCUCCCCUUCUCUUAUUACAUUACACAACAGUCUGUGUUCAUUGCCUUGUGGGGUCUCUCUCUGUUUUCUGUGAAGACGAAGACAGCUGUUUCUGAGUUUUACUUCUUCUUUAUUCGUGUCUAUCUUCUUCUCCACCAAGAUUUUUACUUCAAACCCGCACAGAAACGACCUUUCUCUCUUUCUUCUUCCUUCUGAUUUCUCAGACAGUAGUGGUGACAAAAAACAUCGCUUUGAAAGAGACCAAAGACAGUCCACAAUCUCUCUCUCUCUCUGUUAAAGGAAGGAAGAGAAAUGACGAGAAGGGCGGAGUUCAAGCUAGGUCUCUUCGUGGUUCUUCAAUUCAUGUUUCUGCUAUCUCUAUGUUCAUCUGAGGAGUUCUUGCCUCAGAUAUCACCAGACACGUCUCCUCAACCAUUCCUUCCCUUCAUUGCUCCUUCUCCUAUGGCUCCUUACAUCAACACCACCAUCCCCAAGCUCUCUGGGCUAUGCUCGCUUAAUUUCACUGCUUCCGAGAGUUUGAUUCAGACAACAUCACACAACUGCUGGACUGUCUUUGCUCCAUUAUUAGCCAAUGUCAUGUGUUGUCCUCAGCUAGACGCUGCUCUCACCAUCAUCCUCGGCAAAGCGAGCAAAGAAACUGGUCAGCUUGCCUUAAACAGAACUCAGUCUAAGCACUGUCUCUCGGAUUUAGAGCAGAUCUUGGUAGGCAAAGGCGCUUCUAGCAAGCUUGGGAGUAUAUGUUCCCUUCACUCGUCGAAUCUCACAGCUUCUUCCUGCCCUGUGACCGACGUGGAUCAGUUCGAAAGCGCGGUGGAUACGUCUAAGCUUCUUUUGGCUUGUGAGAAAGUUGAUCCUGUCAAGGAGUGUUGCGAACAGGCUUGCCAAAACGCCAUACUCGACGCAGCUACUAAUAUAACUCUCAAUGCCUCUGAGCCUUUGAUGGAUAACUCGGUUCGGAUCAGUGAUUGUAAGAACAUAGUGCACCGUUGGCUCGCUACUAAACUUGACCCUUCUCAGGCUAAGGAAACUCUCAGAGGUUUAGCAAACUGCAAACUCAAUAGAGUUUGUCCUCUUGUGUUUCCACACAUGAGACACAUCAGUGCUAACUGCAGCAACGAGUUGAGUAACCAAACAAGUUGUUGCCGCGCAAUGGAGAGUUAUGUGUCUCAUCUGCAAAAGCAAUCACUUAUAACUAAUUUGCAAGCUUUGGACUGCGCAACCUCUCUUGGGACAAAGCUGCAGAAGCUAAACAUCACUAAGAAUGUCUUCACUGCUUGUCAUAUAAGUCUCAAAGACUUCUCUCUUCAAGUUGGAAACCAAGAAUCUGGUUGUCUGUUACCAAGCUUACCAUCCGAUGCAAUAUUCGAUCAAGACACGGGAAUAAGCUUCACUUGUGAUCUGAAUGACAACAUUCCUGCCCCAUGGCCUUCUUCAUCUCAGUCCUCAGCCUCUACCUGUAAAAAGACUGUUAGAAUCCCUGCUCUUCCUGCUGCAGCCUCCUCGCAACCCAGUCUCUACAAUGAGGGAGUGAAACGUUUGGUGAUCUUUGUAUUGUCUAUGGUUCUUGUGAUGCUUCUGUCAUGAUACCAGAACUAAACUGGGUUCACUCUUAUCUCUUACCGGUUUACUAGUAAUAGCUGUGGUUUUUGUGAUCAAACCGGUACAGUCAGCUGUCGGAAGUAGUAUGUUGACAUAACCGGUUCAAGUGCUUGAGUUGUUUGAGGCAUGCAUAUAAGCUUUGGGAUGGUGGAAAGAAGUGAUGGCUCUAUGAAUUUUGAUCAGGUUUUGCUUAUUUGACCUCCCAUGUGAUGUUUAAACAGCCAUUUUUGCAUGCCACAGAUUGUGUGACCAAAUGUUAUUCGUUUCAUAUCAUAGGUUUUUAGUUGCUAAUC